rnacentral:rRNA from 1 species
UAGCCUACGGGGCGCAGCAGUGGGGGGUAUUGCACAAUGGGCGAAAGCCUGAUGCAGCGACGCCGCGUGAGGGAAGACGGUCCUCUGGAUUGUAAACUACUGUCCCCAGGGACGAAGAUGACGGUACCUGGGGAGGAAGCUCCGGCUAACUACGUGCCAGCAGCCGCGGUAAUACGUAGGGAGCGAGCGUUGUCCGGAAUUACUGGGUGUAAAGGGAGCGUAGGCGGGGAUGCAAGUUGGGUGUUAAAUCUACCGGCUCAACUGGUAGUCGAACUCAAAACUGCAGCUCUUGAGUGAAGUAGAGG